GGGGUUGUGGCUCAGCGGUAGAGCGCUCGCCUAGCAUGUGUGAGGCCCUGGGUUCAAUCCUCAGCACCA
rnacentral:tRNA from 1 species